CGUUACUAACGACGAUAUGCUUUGGGGAGCUGUAAGUAAGCUUUGAUCCAGAGAUUUCCGAAUGGGGAAACCCAGCAUGAGUUAUGUCAUGUUAUCGAUAUGUGAAUACAUAGCAUAUCAGAAGGCACACCCGGAGAACUGAAACAUCUUAGUACCCGGAGGAAGAGAAAGAAAAUUCGAUUCCCUUAGUAGCGGCGAGCGAAACGGGAAGAGCCCAAACCAACAAGCUUGCUUGUUGGGGUUGUAGGACACUCUAUACGGAGUUACAAAGGACGACAUUAGACGAAUCAUCUGGAAAGAUGAAUCAAAGAAGGUAAUAAUCCUGUAGUCGAAAAUGUUGUCUCUCUUGAGUGGAUCCUGAGUACGACGGAGCACGUGAAAUUCCGUCGGAAUCUGGGAGGACCAUCUCCUAAGGCUAAAUACUCUCUAGUGACCGAUAGUGAACCAGUACCGUGAGGGAAAGGUGAAAAGCACCCCGGAAGGGGAGUGAAAUAGAACCUGAAACCGUGUGCUUACAAGUAGUCAGAGCCCGUUAAUGGGUGAUGGCGUGCCUUUUGUAGAAUGAACCGGCGAGUUACGAUUUGAUGCAAGGUUAAGCAGUAAAUGUGGAGCCGUAGCGAAAGCGAGUCUGAAUAGGGCGUUUAGUAUUUGGUCGUAGACCCGAAACCAGGUGAUCUACCCUUGGUCAGGUUGAAGUUCAGGUAACACUGAAUGGAGGACCGAACCGACUUACGUUGAAAAGUGAGCGGAUGAACUGAGGGUAGCGGAGAAAUUCCAAUCGAACCUGGAGAUAGCUGGUUCUCUCCGAAAUAGCUUUAGGGCUAGCCUCAAGUGAUGAUUAUUGGAGGUAGAGCACUGUUUGGACGAGGGGCCCCUCUCGGGUUACCGAAUUCAGACAAACUCCGAAUGCCAAUUAAUUUAACUUGGGAGUCAGAACAUGGGUGAUAAGGUCCGUGUUCGAAAGGGAAACAGCCCAGACCACCAGCUAAGGUCCCAAAAUAUAUGUUAAGUGGAAAAGGAUGUGGCGUUGCCCAGACAACUAGGAUGUUGGCUUAGAAGCAGCCAUCAUUUAAAGAGUGCGUAAUAGCUCACUAGUCGAGUGACACUGCGCCGAAAAUGUACCGGGGCUAAACAUAUUACCGAAGCUGUGGAUUGUCCUUUGGACAAUGGUAGGAGAGCGUUCUAAGGGCGUUGAAGCAUGAUCGUAAGGACAUGUGGAGCGCUUAGAAGUGAGAAUGCCGGUGUGAGUAGCGAAAGACGGGUGAGAAUCCCGUCCACCGAUUGACUAAGGUUUCCAGAGGAAGGCUCGUCCGCUCUGGGUUAGUCGGGUCCUAAGCUGAGGCCGACAGGCGUAGGCGAUGGAUAACAGGUUGAUAUUCCUGUACCACCUAUAAUCGUUUUAAUCGAUGGGGGGACGCAGUAGGAUAGGCGAAGCGUGCGAUUGGAUUGCACGUCUAAGCAGUAAGGCUGAGUAUUAGGCAAAUCCGGUACUCGUUAAGGCUGAGCUGUGAUGGGGAGAAGACAUUGAGUCUUCGAGUCGUUGAUUUCACACUGCCGAGAAAAGCCUCUAGAUAGAAAAUAGGUGCCCGUACCGCAAACCGACACAGGUAGUCAAGAUGAGAAUUCUAAGGUGAGCGAGCGAACUCUCGUUAAGGAACUCGGCAAAAUGACCCCGUAACUUCGGGAGAAGGGGUGCUCUUUAGGGUUAACGCCCAGAAGAGCCGCAGUGAAUAGGCCCAAGCGACUGUUUAUCAAAAACACAGGUCUCUGCUAAACCGUAAGGUGAUGUAUAGGGGCUGACGCCUGCCCGGUGCUGGAAGGUUAAGAGGAGUGGUUAGCUUCUGCGAAGCUACGAAUCGAAGCCCCAGUAAACGGCGGCCGUAACUAUAACGGUCCUAAGGUAGCGAAAUUCCUUGUCGGGUAAGUUCCGACCCGCACGAAAGGCGUAACGAUUUGGGCACUGUCUCAACGAGAGACUCGGUGAAAUCAUAGUACCUGUGAAGAUGCAGGUUACCCGCGACAGGACGGAAAGACCCCGUGGAGCUUUACUGUAGCCUGAUAUUGAAAUUCGGCACAGCUUGUACAGGAUAGGUAGGAGCCUUUGAAACGUGAGCGCUAGCUUACGUGGAGGCGCUGGUGGGAUACUACCCUAGCUGUGUUGGCUUUCUAACCCGCACCACUUAUCGUGGUGGGAGACAGUGUCAAGCGGGCAGUUUGACUGGGGCGGUCGCCUCCUAAAAGGUAACGGAGGCGCUCAAAGGUUCCCUCAGAAUGGUUGGAAAUCAUUCAUAGAGUGUAAAGGCAUAAGGGAGCUUGACUGCGAGACCUACAAGUCGAGCAGGGUCGAAAGACGGACUUAGUGAUCCGGUGGUUCCGCAUGGAAGGGCCAUCGCUCAACGGAUAAAAGCUACCCCGGGGAUAACAGGCUUAUCUCCCCCAAGAGUUCACAUCGACGGGGAGGUUUGGCACCUCGAUGUCGGCUCAUCGCAUCCUGGGGCUGUAGUCGGUCCCAAGGGUUGGGCUGUUCGCCCAUUAAAGCGGUACGCGAGCUGGGUUCAGAACGUCGUGAGACAGUUCGGUCCCUAUCCGUCGUGGGCGUAGGAAAUUUGAGAGGAGCUGUCCUUAGUACGAGAGGACCGGGAUGGACAUACCUCUGGUGUACCAGUUGUCGUGCCAACGGCAUAGCUGGGUAGCUAUGUGUGGACGGGAUAAGUGCUGAAAGCAUCUAAGCAUGAAGCCCCCCUCAAGAUGAGAUUUCCCAACUUCGGUUAUAAGAUCCCUCAAAGAUGAUGAGGUUAAUAGGUUCGAGGUGGAAGCAUGGUGACAUGUGGAGCUGACGAAUACUAAUCGAUCGAAGACUUAAUCAA
rnacentral:rRNA from 1 species